GAUGAAGAACGUAGUGAAAUGCGAUAAGUAAUGCGAAUUGCAGAAUUUCCGUGAGUCAUCGAAUCUUUGAACGCACAUUGCGCCCGCUGGUAUUCCGGCGGGCAUGCCUGUUCGAGCGUCAUUUCAACCCUCAAGCCCCCGGGUUUGGUGUUGGGGAUCGGCUCUGCCCUUCUGGGCGGUGCCGCCCCCGAAAUACAUUGGCGGUCUCGCUGCAGCCUCCAUUGCGUAGUAGCUAACACCUCGCAACUGGAACGCGGCGCGGCCAUGCCGUAAAACCCCAACUUCUGAAUGUUGACCUCGGAUCAGGUAGGAAUACCCGCUGAACUUAAGCAUAUCAAUAAGCGGAGGA
rnacentral:misc_RNA from 1 species